rnacentral:pre_miRNA from 1 species
AAGAGGCAGAACAUGUCAUGGUAGUCAAGGAGACUGCCUGAAAUUAAUUGCCUAUAGGCACCCAUUAUAUUUAAUGAAAUGAAAAUCUUUCAAAUAAUAAUGGACCAGGCAAGUCAUCUUUGGAUACUAAAUAAUAAUACCACUCUACUCU